UCCUUGGUGGCUCAGAUGGUAAAGCGUCUGCCUAUAAUGCAGGAGACCCAGGUUCGAUCCCUGGGUUGGGAA
rnacentral:tRNA from 1 species